rnacentral:rRNA from 1 species
GGUCAGCAUACUGCGGUGAAUACGUUCCCGGGCCUUGUACACACCGCCCGUCACACCACGAAAGUCGGAAGUGCCCAAAGCCGGUGGGGUAACCUUCGGGAGCCAGCCGUCUAAGGUAAAGUCGAUGAUUGGGGUGAAGUCGUAACAAGGUAGCCGUAUCGGAAGGUGCGGCUGGAUCACCUCCUUUCUAGGGAGA